rnacentral:rRNA from 1 species
CCGGCGACCGGCGCACGGGUGAGUAACACGUAUGCAACCUGCCCUCCGCAGGGGGAUAACCCGGAGAAAUCCGGACUAAUACCGCGUGGUACACCAGUGGGGCAUCCCACGGGUGUUAAAAGGAAGCGAUUCCGGCGGAGGAUGGGCAUGCGGCGCAUUAGCUUGUUGGCGGGGUAACGGCCCACCAAGGCGACGAUGCGUAGGGGUUCUGAGAGGAAGGUCCCCCACACUGGUACUGAGACACGGACCAGACUCCUACGGGAGGCAGCAG